GACGAACGCUGGCGGCGUGCUUAACACAUGCAAGUCGAACGGAAAGGCCCUGCUUUUGUGGGGUGCUCGAGUGGCGAACGGGUGAGUAACACGUGAGUAACCUGCCCUUGACUUUGGGAUAACUUCAGGAAACUGGGGCUAAUACCGGAUAGGAGCUCCUGCUGCAUGGUGGGGGUUGGAAAGUUUCGGCGGUUGGGGAUGGACUCGCGGCUUAUCAGCUUGUUGGUGGGGUAGUGGCUUACCAAGGCUUUGACGGGUAGCCGGCCUGAGAGGGUGACCGGCCACAUUGGGACUGAGAUACGGCCCAGACUCCUACGGGAGGCAGCAGUGGGGAAUAUUGCACAAUGGGCGGAAGCCUGAUGCAGCAACGCCGCGUGCGGGAUGACGGCCUUCGGGUUGUAAACCGCUUUCGCCUGUGACGAAGCGUGAGUGACGGUAAUGGGUAAAGAAGCACCGGCUAACUACGUGCCAGCAGCCGCGGUGAUACGUAGGGUGCGAGCGUUGUCCGGAUUUAUUGGGCGUAAAGGGCUCGUAGGUGGUUGAUCGCGUCGGAAGUGUAAUCUUGGGGCUUAACCCUGAGCGUGCUUUCGAUACGGGUUGACUUGAGGAAGGUAGGGGAGAAUGGAAUUCCUGGUGGAGCGGUGGAAUGCGCAGAUAUCAGGAGGAACACCAGUGGCGAAGGCGGUUCUCUGGGCCUUUCCUGACGCUGAGGAGCGAAAGCGUGGGGAGCGAACAGGCUUAGAUACCCUGGUAGUCCACGCUGUAAACGGUGGGUACUAGGUGUGGGGUCCAUUCCACGGGUUCCGUGCCGUAGCUAACGCUUUAAGUACCCCGCCUGGGAAGUACGGCCGCAAGGCUAAAACUCAAAGGAAUUGACGGGGCCCCGCACAAGCGGCGGAGCAUGCGGAUUAAUUCGAUGCAACGCGUAGAACCUUACCUGGGUUUGACAUGGAUCGGGAGCGCUCAGAGAUGGGUGUGCCUCUUUUGGGGUCGGUUCACAGGUGGUGCAUGGCUGUCGUCAGCUCGUGUCGUGAGAUGUUGGGUUAAGUCCCGCAACGAGCGCAACCCUUGUUCACUGUUGCCAGCACGUUAUGGUGGGGACUCAGUGGAGACCGCCGGGGUCAACUCGGAGGAAGGUGGGGAUGACGUCAAGUCAUCAUGCCCCUUAUGUCCAGGGCUUCACGCAUGCUACAAUGGCUGGUACAGAGAGUGGCGAGCCUGUGAGGGUGAGCGAAUCCCGGAAAGCCGGUCUCAGUUCGGAUUGGGGUCUGCAACUCGACCUCAUGAAGUCGGAGUCGCUAGUAAUCGCAGAUCAGCAACGCUGCGGUGAAUACGUUCCCGGGGCU
rnacentral:rRNA from 1 species